GGUGACCUACGGGACGCAGCAGUCGGGAAUAUUGCGCAAUGGAGGAAACUCUGACGCAGUGACGCCGCGUAUAAGAAGAAGGUUUUCGGAUUGUAAACUAUUGUCGUGAGGGAAGAAAUUGACAGUACCUCAGGAGGAAGCUCCAGCUAACUAUGUGCCAGCAGCCGCGGUAAUACAUAGGGAGCAAGCGUUAUCCGGAUUUAUUGGGUGUAAAGGGUGCGUAGACGGGAAAUUAAGUUAGUUGUGAAAUCCCUCGGCUUAACUGAGGAACUGCACCUAAAACUGAUUUUCUU
rnacentral:rRNA from 1 species